rnacentral:rRNA from 1 species
GCUCCAAAUAGUGAGUGGCAAACGGGUGAGUAACACGUGGGAAUCUACCCAUCAGUACGGAAUAGCAUUUGGAAACAGAUGAUAAUACCGUAUAUUCUCGUAAGAGGAAAGAUUUAUCGCUGAUGGAUGAGCCCGCGCCUGAUUAGGUAGUUGGUGGGGUAAUGGCCUACCAAGCCUUCGAUCAGUAGCUGGUCUGAGAGGAUGAUCAGCCACACUGGGACUGAGACACGGCCCAGACUCC